rnacentral:rRNA from 1 species
CGGGAAACCGGAGCUAAUACCGGAUAAGAUAUCGAACCGCAUGGUUCGAUAGUGAAAGAUGGUUUUGCUAUCACUUAUAGAUGGACCCGCGCCGUAUUAGCUAGUUGGUGAGGUAACGGCUCACCAAGGCAACGAUACGUAGCCGACCUGAGAGGGUGAUCGGCCACACUGGAACUGAGACACGGUCCAGACUCCUACGGGAGGCAGCAGG